CCGCUAGAUGGCAGCCGGCGCCAGCGAUUCCCGCUCGGCUCCGCGCCACCGCCGGGGCCGCCGGGGCCGCGCCGGGCCGGGCCGAGCCGAGCCGCGCCGGGCGCCGCGGGGCGCGGAGCGUGGCUGCCCCCGGCCCCCGCCCCGCCGCCGCCGCCCCCCGCCGUUCAGGGAGUCGCGACCGCCGCCGAGGGCUCUGACCAGUCAGUCGCCUUUGAUUAUCAGUUGCCAGCAGCCCUUCUCUUGGCUCCUUGACAUGAGCUCCAUAUAAGGCAGCGAUCUCCAUAGAAACGUGUCAGUUUCAAUAGUAGUGUCAAAGUUCACUAUAUACAGACAUUCGCGCAGAUCCCCCUUUCGGAAACAUUGCUCUGCUCGGCUUCCCGUUUAAACGCAUUCAUUUUUUGGGUCUCUCUCUCUCUCCCUCUCUCUCUCUCUCCCCCUCUCUCUCUCCUUCCUUGCAUAUUCUAUUAGUUGUUUUUUUUUUUUUUUCCUUCCCCCCUUCAUCUCCCUCUUCUCCUUCCUUUUCUUCUUUUUCCACCCUUUUCCUNNNNNNNNNNNNNNNNNNNNNNNNNGAGAUCUUGACGUCAGUGCUUUGAUUAUCAGUUGCUCAGCAGCC
rnacentral:lncRNA from 1 species